rnacentral:rRNA from 1 species
GAUGAACGCUGGCGGCGUGCUUAACACAUGCAAGUCGAACGGAAAGGCUCCUGCUUGCAGGGGUACUCGAGUGGCGAACGGGUGAGUAACACGUGGGUGAUCUGCCCUGCACUUCGGGAUAAGCCUGGGAAACUGGGUCUAAUACCGGAUAGGACGAUGGUUUGGAUGCCAUUGUGGAAAGUUUUUUCGGUGUGGGAUGAGCUCGCGGCCUAUCAGCUUGUUGGUGGGGUAAUGGCCUACCAAGGCGUCGACGGGUAGCCGGCCUGAGAGGGUGUACGGCCACAUUGGGACUGAGAUACGGCCCAGACUCCUACGGGAGGCAGCAGUGGGGAAUAUUGCACAAUGGGCGCAAGCCUGAUGCAGCGACGCCGCGUGGGGGAUGACGGCCUUCGGGUUGUAAACUCCUUUCGUUAGGGACGAAGCGCAAGUGACGGUACCUGGAGAAGAAGCACCGGCUAACUACGUG